GUUGGCUGCGGCACGGAGCGGUCCGCUGUGUUGCUCGGGAAGGCAGUGUGCGCCUGCGCGGUAACGUGGAGAGCGCAAGGUGAGGGUACGACGAGGCUUCAGAUCAGUGUCGGAGUGGAAAUACCUGGCGGACUGGGCUAGGGAGUGAGGGAGUGGGCGUGAGGCAUCGCAGGGCGGCCAUGAUGGUGAGGAGCAAAAAAAAGUGAUGCACAAUUAAUUACCGUGAUAAAGUUCAAUCACUCGGCUAGUCCCGCGGAUCGUGAGCCGCGAGAGCCACCACAUCGCGACCCCCACCUCCUGCACCGCCGUCAGGAUGCCGCUGUUACUCGAAGGACUUAGCGACGCGGUAUCCUGCAGGGUGUAGACCGUGCAAGAUGAAGGUGUCCUGCCCGUGAGGCGCCGCUGGUACGUGGACAGGCGACAAGUGUGAGCGGCGUGAAAGUGAGAACGCCGGCAGGAGUGUAAAGCAGUGUCUUGAUGCCGCCCCGGUCGCCGCCGCCGCCGCACCCGUGUUAGCAAUGGCGUGGAUGGAGCCACGAACCACCAGGCUGAUUGACGAGUUGCUCCUCCACCGCCGCCACCACAAACCCCGGCGUCGCCCUCCACUCAUGAUGAAGGUGAGGUGCCCGCUUGCCGCGUCGUUGUGAGGCCUGGCUGGCUUGUGUCUUGCCCACCAUCAACGCUUUCUCAAACACCUCGCCGUCCUGUCGCGUUUUCCAUUAGUUCUGGUGAAGGUAUUAGGGGUUUGCAAGUGUUUUACUGAUUCUAGUGAUCGUUUAACAAAUGUUCUGUGCUACCAGGAAGUUAUUGGGGUUUUCAAGGGUGUUUUCUUGAUUCUAUUGGUAGUUUAUCAA